rnacentral:rRNA from 1 species
UGGGGAAUAUUGGACAAUGGGCGCAAGCCUGAUCCAGCCAUGCCGCGUGUGUGAAGAAGGCCUUUUGGUUGUAAAGCACUUUAAGCGAGGAGGAGGCUACUUGGAUUAAUACUCUAAGAUAGUGGACGUUACUCGCAGAAUAAGCACCGGCUAACUCUGUGCCAGCAGCCGCGGUAAUACAGAGGGUGCGAGCGUUAAUCGGAUUUACUGGGGGUAAAGCGUGCGUAGGCGGCUUCUUAAGUCGGAUGUGAAAUCCCUGAGCUUAACUUAGGAAUUGCAUUCGAUACUGGGAAGCUAGAGUAUGGGAGAGGAUGGUAGAAUUCCAGGUGUAGCGGUGAAAUGCGUAGAGAUCUGGAGGAAUACCGAUGGCGAAGGCAGCCAUCUGGCCUAAUACUGACGCUGAGGUACGAAAGCAUGGGGAGCAAACAGG